AAUCAACGCUGGCGGCGUGCCUAACACAUGCAAGUCGAACGAGAAAGUGGAGCAAUCCAUGAGUAAAGUGGCGACCGGGUGAGUAACACGUGACUAACCUACCUUCGAGUGGGGGAUAACCUCGGGAAACCGGGGCUAAUACCGCAUAACAUCUUUGGAGUGGAAAUUUCGGAGAUCAAAGGAGCAAUUCGCUGGAAGAGGGGGUCGCGGCUGAUUAGCUAGUUGGCGGGGUAACGGCCCACCAAGGCUAGAUCGGUAGCCGGCCUGAGAGGGCGCACGGCCACACUGGAACUGAAACACGGUCCAGACUCCUACGGGAGGCAGCAGUGGGGAAUUUUGCGCAAUGGGGGAAACCCUGACGCAGCAACGCCGCGUGGAGGAUGAAGUCCCUUGGGACGUAAACUCCUUUCGACCCGGACGAUAAUGACGGUACGGGUGGAAGAAGCCCCGGCUAACUUCGUGCCAGCCGCCGCCGUAAG
rnacentral:rRNA from 1 species